UACGUAGGGUGCGAGCGUUAAUCGGAAUUACUGGGCGUAAAGUGUGCGCAGGCGGCCGCGCAAGUCGAGUGUGAAAUCCCCGAGCUUAACUUGGGAAUUGCGCUCGAAACUACGUGGCUGGAGUGUGGCAGAGGAAGGUGGAAUUCCACGUGUAGCGGUGAAAUGCGUAGAGAUGUGGAGGAACACCGAUGGCGAAGGCAGCCUUCUGGGCCAACACUGACGCUCAUGCGCGAAAGCUAGGGGAGCAAACAGG
rnacentral:rRNA from 1 species